rnacentral:tRNA from 4 species
GGGCAUGUAGUUCAGUGGUAGAACGCUACGUUGACAUCGUAGAGGUCAUAAGUUCAAUUCUUAUCAUGCCCACCA